UAACCGUAAGUGAACCUGCGGAAGGAUCAUUAAAAGAUAUGGCAUAUUCCAUGUGGAUAUACCCAAUCAACCCAUUCUGAGUACCUUACCUGUUGCUUCCACACAGUGUCAGUGCAUUAGUACUGACAUUCAGACGAUAGUGAAAACUUAUCCGAUGGAGAUGUGUGGAGGAUAUACAUUAAACUCUUGCAUUACCAUGUAUUCUGUCUGAUUAUGUUUAAUACAAAAUAUUAAAACUUUCAACAACGGAUCUCUUGGUUCUC
rnacentral:misc_RNA from 1 species